UACGUAGGGUGCAAGCGUUAAUCGGAAUUACUGGGCGUAAAGCGUGCGCAGGCGGUUUUGUAAGACAGAGGUGAAAUCCCCGGGCUCAACCUGGGAACUGCCUUUGUGACUGCAAGGCUAGAGUACGGCAGAGGGGGGGUGGAAUUCCGCGUGUAGCAGUGAAAUGCGUAGAUAUGCGGAGGAACACCGAUGGCGAAGGCAACCCCCUGGGCCAGUACUGACGCUCAUGCACGAAAGCGUGGGGAGCAAACAGG
rnacentral:rRNA from 1 species